CGUCCAUGAUCUGCGGGCAGAUGAAGUGCACGUGGCAGUCGAUACCGCCUGCCGUCAGGAUCUUGCCGUUCCCGGCGAUGAUCUCGGUGGACGGACCCACCACCAGAUCGGGGUGGACCCCCGACAUCGUGUCGGGGUUGCCUGCCUUGCCGAGCGCGACGAUGCGUCCGUCCCGAAUACCGACGUCCGCUUUGAUGAUUCCCCAAUGGUCGACGACCACCACGCCGGUGAUCACCGUGUCGGGGGCACCCUCGGCGCGGGUCGCGCGACCCUGACCCAUGGACUCGCGCAACA
rnacentral:sRNA from 1 species